GACGAACGCUGGCGGCGUGCUUAACACAUGCAAGUCGAACGGAAAGGCCCCUUUGGGGGUACUCGAGUGGCGAACGGGUGAGUAACACGUGAGUAACCUUCCCUUUACUUCGGGAUAACUUCAGGAAACUGGGGCUAAUACCGGAUAGGAAUCCUUGCUGCAUGGUGGGGGUUGGAAAGCUUCGGCGGUUUUGGAUGGACUCGCGGCUUAUCAGCUUGUUGGUGGGGUAGUGGCUUACCAAGGCUUUGACGGGUAGCCGGACUGAGAGGGCGACCGGCCACAUUGGGACUGAGAUACGGCCCAGACUCCUACGGGAGGCAGCAGUGGGGAAUAUUGCACAAUGGGCGGAAGCCUGAUGCAGCAACGCCGCGUGCGGGAUGACGGCCUUCGGGUUGUAAACCGCUUUCAGCAGGGGCGAAGCUUGUGGUGACGGUACCUGCAGAAGAAGCACCGGCUAACUACGUG
rnacentral:rRNA from 1 species